CCCUUAGAUGUCCUGGGCCGCACGCGUGCUACACUGACAUGUUCAACAAGCCUCCUAGUUCGACAGGAUUUGGGAAAUCUUUGAACGCAUGUCGUGAUAGGGAUAGAUCAUUGCAAUUAUUGAUCUUGAACGAGGAAUUCCUAGUAAACGCGAGUCAUCAGCUCGCAUUGAUUACGUCCCUGCCCUUUGUACACACCGCCCGUCGCACCUACCGAUUGAAUGUUUCGGUGAAGAUUCCGGAUAGGACUUUUUUGAUUUAUUUCAAUUCUGUCUUAAAAGCUAUCUAAACCUCAACAUUUAGAGGAAGGUGAAGUCGUAACA
rnacentral:rRNA from 1 species